rnacentral:rRNA from 1 species
GAUGAACGCUGGCGGCGUGCCUAAUACAUGCAAGUCGAGCGAACGGACGAGAAGCUUGCUUCUCUGAUGUUAGCGGCGGACGGGUGAGUAACACGUGGAUAACCUACCUAUAAGACUGGGAUAACUUCGGGAAACCGGAGCUAAUACCGGAUAAUAUUUUGAACCGCAUGGUUCAAAAGUGAAAGACGGUCUUGCUGUCACUUAUAGAUGGAUCCGCGCUGCAUUAGCUAGUUGGUAAGGUAACGGCUUACCAAGGCAACGAUGCAUAGCCGACCUGAGAGGGUGAUCGGCCACACUGGAACUGAGACACGGUCCAGACUCCUACGGGAGGCAGCAGUAGGGAAUCUUCCGCAAUGGGCGAAAGCCUGACGGAGCAACGCCGCAUGAGUGAUGAAGGUCUUCGGAUCGUAAAACUCUGUUAUUAGGGAAGAACAUAUGUGUAAGUAACUGUGCACAUCUUGACGGUACCUAAUCAGAAAGCCACGGCUAACUACGUGCCAGCAGCCGCGGUAAUACGUAGGUGGCAAGCGUUAUCCGGAAUUAUUGGGCGUAAAGCGCGCGUAGGCGGUUUUUUAAGUCUGAUGUGAAAGCCCACGGCUCAACCGUGGAGGGUCAUUGGAAACUGGAAAACUUGAGUGCAGAAGAGGAAAGUGGAAUUCCAUGUGUAGCGGUGAAAUGCGCAGAGAUAUGGAGGAACACCAGUGGCGAAGGCGACUUUCUGGUCUGUAACUGACGCUGAUGUGCGAAAGCGUGGGGAUCAAACAGGAUUAGAUACCCUGGUAGUCCACGCCGUAAACGAUGAGUGCUAAGUGUUAGGGGGUUUCCGCCCCUUAGUGCUGCAGCUAACGCAUUAAGCACUCCGCCUGGGGAGUACGACCGCAAGGUUGAAACUCAAAGGAAUUGACGGGGACCCGCACAAGCGGUGGAGCAUGUGGUUUAAUUCGAAGCAACGCGAAGAACCUUACCAAAUCUUGACAUCCCUUGACAACUCUAGAGAUAGAGCUUUCCCCUUCGGGGGACAAAGUGACAGGUGGUGCAUGGUUGUCGUCAGCUCGUGUCGUGAGAUGUUGGGUUAAGUCCCGCAACGAGCGCAACCCUUAAGCUUAGUUGCCAUCAUUAAGUUGGGCACUCUAAGUUGACUGCCGGUGACAAACCGGAGGAAGGUGGGGAUGACGUCAAAUCAUCAUGCCCCUUAUGAUUUGGGCUACACACGUGCUACAAUGGACAAUACAAAGGGCAGCGAAACCGCGAGGUCAAGCAAAUCCCAUAAAGUUGUUCUCAGUUCGGAUUGUAGUCUGCAACUCGACUACAUGAAGCUGGAAUCGCUAGUAAUCGUAGAUCAGCAUGCUACGGUGAAUACGUUCCCGGGUCU